rnacentral:rRNA from 1 species
AGCGAACGCUGGCGGCAGGCCUAACACAUGCAAGUCGAACGAACCUUUCGGGGUUAGUGGCGGACGGGUGAGUAACACGUGGGAACGUGCCUUUAGGUCGGGAUAAAUCCGGGGAACUUGUGCUAAUAACCGAUGGGGCCUUCGGGGGAAAGAUUAAUCGCCUUUAGAGCGGCCCGCGUCUGAUUAGCUAGUUGGUUGAGGUAAUGGCUCACCAAGGCGACGAUCAGUAGCUGGUCUGAGAGGAUGAUCAGCCACAUUGGGACUGAGACACGGCCCAAACUCCUACGGGAGGCAGCAGUGGGGAAUCUUGCGCAAUGGGCGAAAGCCUGACGCAGCCAUGCCGCGUGAAUGAUGAAGGUCUUAGGAUUGUAAAAUUCUUUCACCGGGGACGAUAAUGACGGUACCCGGAGAAGAAGCCCCGGCUAACUUCGUG